GACGAACGCUGGCGGCGUGCUUAACACAUGCAAGUCGAACGGUGAAGCGAGUGCUUGCACUCGUGGAUCAGUGGCGAACGGGUGAGUAACACGUGAGUAACCUGCCCAUCACUCUGGGAUAAGCACUGGAAACGGUGUCUAAUACUGGAUACGACCAACCCUUGCAUGGGGUGUUGGUGGAAAGAUUUAUCGGUGAUGGAUGGACUCGCGGCCUAUCAGCUUGUUGGCGGGGUAAUGGCCCACCAAGGCGACGACGGGUAGCCGGCCUGAGGGGGUGACCGGCCACACUGGGACUGAGACACGGCCCAGACUCCUACGGGAGGCAGCAGUGGGGAAUAUUGCACAAUGGGCGAAAGCCUGAUGCAGCGACGCCGCGUGAGGGAUGACGGCCUUCGGGUUGUAAACCUCUUCCAGCAGGGAAGAAGCGAAAGUGACGGUACCUGCAGAAGAAGCACCGGCUAACUACGUG
rnacentral:rRNA from 1 species